UACGGAGGAUCCGAGCGUUAUCCGGAUUUAUUGGGUUUAAAGGGUGCGCAGGCGGAAUAUUAAGUCGGCGGUGAAAGUUUGCAGCUUAACUGUAAAAUUGCCGUUGAUACUGGUAUUCUUGAGUGUAUAUGAAGUAGGCGGAAUUUGUAGUGUAGCGGUGAAAUGCAUAGAUAUUACAAGGAACUCCGAUUGCGAAGGCAGCUUACUAAAUUACAACUGACGCUUAGGCACGAAGGCGUGGGUAUCAAACAGGAUUAGAUACCCUGGUAGUCCCU
rnacentral:rRNA from 1 species